rnacentral:lncRNA from 1 species
CUGAGUUAAUAACCACUCAUCAUACUUUUGACUCAUGUACUUCGUGAUUCAGGAUUCUUUCAAUUCUACUUUCAAUUGGCCCUAACAGACUGGGAAUUGUAAACUAGAAAUCAAAUUCCAGCACACCUACACCUUGAAGUACUCAUCCUUCAUGAAUGAAAGUGAAACCCAGGGAUCACUAAAGUAGCUCGGAGGAUGAUAUGGCAUCAAAUACAGACAGUGACAGAUGUUUCCCUGGUGAGUGACUGCUAUCUAUAGAUGCCUCCCGAGUCCAGGGUGAGCCAAAAACAUGCAGAGAAGCAAGCAGGGGAUGGCUCAGUCAUGAAGACACCGUCUCCUCCAAGAGCGUCUCAAUAGUGGCUUCAUGACCCCCAUGUGUAUUUUCAAAACAGACCUACAUCACUAGCCCUUUUGCUAGUGCCUUCUUCAUUAACAGCUGGGUGUUGCUUAAUCUUUUUCCUUCAUGCCACUACUUUGCCCAUUCUCUCUCUUAAGCUGAUCUUACCCUCCUUUUUAACACGAGUAGUUUCUGUACUAGAAAUCUGUUAUUUCUAUGGGAGCCCAGCUGAAGACAGAAAACCAAAGACCUCCACUGCUCUGGCUGCCCAAGAGGAUAUGGAUGAGCAGCUACAUUUAUUAAUUCCCAAAUUCCUUCCUUCCUUCAACCAUUCAUCCACUUGUCCAAUCAGCAAAUACUGAUCAAGCAUAUGAUACCAGGCUGAGUCACAGGGAUAUAACAGCAAACAAGACUUUCUUUUUCUGCCUUGGCAGAGUUUAUGAUCUGUUGAGGCAUACAGGGAAGCAAACAGAUGUAAAAUGUAAAUGAAAAUUCUGAGUGAUGACUGCAAAGAUAGGGAAGAUGCAGGGGAUGACAGGAGCAUACGGGAGAGGAGGAAUCGCACGGGGCUGGUUACUUGGUUUGUGGAGUUGGUGCCCAGUGAACAUGUGGGGACCCUUUGUUAAAGGUUACGCAGAAUUUCAAGGCAAUGAGAGUGGAGCAUGACACCAAGUGUGGCACCCUUCUAGGUUCUGGGCUCCAUGAGACUGCACAGGCGGCACACCUACAAAGUCAGACCUGGGGUUUGGGAAGACUCCUUGGAGCAGGCAAGGACUGAAACGAGCCCUGAAGGCCCAGGAGGGUUGGUCUGCAUUAUGGUUGUGUGGCUGGGGAAAGGGAUGCUCUAGGCCAUUCAACUGCGUGGGUGAAGGCCAGGUGCUGCUGCUGCUGCUGCUGCUGCUGGUGCUAAAUCGCUUCAGUCGUGUCCGACUCUGUGCGACCCCAUAGACGGCA